CAGCAGCCGCGGGAAUACAGAGGGUGCAAGCGUUAAUCGGAAUUACUGGGCGUAAAGCGCGCGUAGGUGGUUUGUUAAGUUGGAUGUGAAAUCCCCGGGCUCAACCUGGGAACUGCAUUCAAAACUGACUGACUAGAGUAUGGUAGAGGGUGGUGGAAUUUCCUGUGUAGCGGUGAAAUGCGUAGAUAUAGGAAGGAACACCAGUGGCGAAGGCGACCACCUGGACUAAUACUGACACUGAGGUGCGAAAGCGCGGGGAGCGAACAGGAUUAGAUACCCCUGUAGUCCCUGUCUCUUAUAC
rnacentral:rRNA from 1 species